ensembl:lncRNA
ACGAGACAAAGCCAACACAUAUGUUGUCACUCCCCACGACUAGUUUAAAAUGUUUCCAUACCUCCGAUUUUCCUCCAAACUUGCUCAAAGUUAAUUCUCCUGUUUUAAUUUUUUUUUCUUUGAUUCUUCAAGCUCCAUGUGGCACUUAAGCUACUGAAUAGUACAGCACGCACAGCAGGUGUGAUGCGUCACGCGUGCGAGACUGCGAAUGCGAGUGGACGAGACGCUGCGCAUGACACGUGAUGUGCUUUAUCAAGGGCCCGACCCGACCCGGCCCGAGGACGGUUGCGGGAAAUAUCGGCCCGACCCGGCCCGCGGGUCGGGUCGGGUCGAGUCCGGGCUCGGGCUCGGGCAGAGAAUCUAAGCUCUACUAGGGUUACAUACGUAACCUAGAGACGUUUUUGGAUGUUUAUUAUAAAGAAAAUGCUGUUCGAUGUGUCUUUAAGCUGUCACAGAUCAAGCCGGAGACAACAGGUAGUAGGCUAAAGGUUGGUAGAGAGUAUGGGAACCAUGAACAGAGGAGAUCAACGGAGGAACCUCGGGAAUCUAAAGGAUACUCUCUCAAGUGUUACGUGUGCAAUACUUUGCUGACGGAUUACUGUGAAGCAAAAGUGGAGUUAUGUCGCGAUGGAUUCUCCAAAUGUCAAAGCCAAGCAACGGAAAUAUCCAUGGGUUUCGCUGAGAUAUUAAGCAUAACUAGAAAUUGUGCUUCUACAUGUGAAGCUGGGACCGAACAUUCCUGGGCUGGAGAGACAGUAACCCAGUGCUGUGACACUGACCUUUGCAAUGCAGCAGAUGGCCUGUAUAAGACAAGCUUCCUCCUGCUGUUGUCUCCUCUGCUCUUCUACUUCCUGUUUCACUGAUUCCAGCAGCAGUUCAGAUUCUACAGCAGCAGCAGAAACUGAACGUCACACACAUUUCUAUUCUUGAAUAAACAAAUAAAGCUUGUCAAUCAUUAAAA